rnacentral:rRNA from 1 species
ACUGCCUGAUGGAGGGGGAUAACUACUGGAAACGGUAGCUAAUACCGCAUAACGUCGCAAGACCAAAGAGGGGGACCCUCGGGCCUCUUGCCAUCGGAUGUGCCCAGAUGGGAUUAGCUUGUUGGUGGGGUAACGGCUCACCAAGGCGACGAUCCCUAGCUGGUCUGAGAGGAUGACCAGCCACACUGGAACUGAGACACGGUCCAGACUCCUACGGGAG